rnacentral:lncRNA from 1 species
UACGAGAUCCAAAAAACCCAUCGAAAAUCAUUCGAAAAUAACUCGUGUUCUUUAGUCAACUAUAGAAAAAUGACACUUGACACAGGGGCACACACUCGUGUGGAAAGGGCAACAUGCCCGUGUGAUCAAUUUGACAUGGUUGUGUGGUUGGCCCAUGUGGCUCACACAACCUAGGCAAUACAGGGACACGCCCGUGUGGAAUUAAUUCCAAAUGCACACCAAUAGGGAUUUUCACAUGGCC